rnacentral:rRNA from 1 species
UACGUAGGGUGCGAGCGUUGUCCGGAAUUAUUGGGCGUAAAGGGCUCGUAGGCGGUUUGUCGCGUCGGGAGUGAAAUCCACUGGCUUAACUGGUGGCUUGCUUUCGAUACGGGCAGACUGGAGGUAUGCAGGGGAGAACGGAAUUCCUGGUGUAGCGGUGAAAUGCGCAGAUAUCAGGAGGAACACCGGUGGCGAAGGCGGAUCUCUGGGCCUGUUCUGACGCUGAGGCGCGAAAGCUAGGAGAGCGAACAGG